CUUUCUUUGGCCACUUUUAUGGUUAGUAAUGUCAUCUCCUUAGUAAGGGAAGAUCCUGGCUCCCCUCCUUCCCCCAGCAAACUACAGUGGUUGUCUUACAGAGAGUUUGUAGUAGACAGAGUAAUGGUGCUCCAGAGAUAUCCACAUUCUGAUCCCCAGAAUCUGUGAAUAUGUUACCUUACAUGGCAAAAGGAGCUCUGGAGAUGUGGUUAAGUUAAGGAUCUUGAGAUGGGAAGAUUAUCUUGGAUUUAUACAGGCGGGUCCAAUGUAAUCAUAAGGGUUUUUAUAAGAAGAAGGUGAGAAGGUCAGAGGCAGAGAAGGAGAUGUGAUGGUGGAAGCAGAGGUGGAAGUGAUGUUCUUUAAAGAUGGAGGACGGGCCUGCAAGGCAAGGAAUGCAGGCAGCCUCUAUAAACUGGCAAAGACGAGGAAACGGAUUCUCCCCUGGAAACUGCAGAAGAGAUGCAGCUCUGCCAACACCUUGAAUUUAGCCAUAAAACCCAUUUUGGACUUCAGAUCUCCAGACCCAUAAGCUGCCAGCUGAACCUGUGAACACUUUGGCCAAACUCUGUUGGCGGAUAUCUCCCCUCUUCCUUUGUCCAGAUGUACCAGUGCUGAGAACAUUUGAGGUUGUACUGUCAAGCACUCUCUAGGAUGCGUAUUUUUACGAUUUGGCUUCCUCUCCGGAAUCAUGAACUCUUCAGAUGCCACGAUAAUGGAACUGAAAGUCAUCUAUGAGCUGGUGAUUCUAUUAAUAUGAAUAACAGCUGACCCUUGGUGGUCACAUCUGAGCUAUAACUUCAACUACCACCUGCAUGCUCAUAACUCUCAAGUCUACCUUUGGAGUUCCUGUAGUAUUCCUGAACCACAGCCAUAUAUGUGAAAC
rnacentral:lncRNA from 1 species